UGGGGAAUAUUGCGCAAUGGGGGGAACCCUGACGCAGCGACGCCGCGUGAAGGAAGAAGGCCUUCGGGUUGUAAACUUCUUUGAUUGGGGAAGAAAAAUGACGGUACCCAAAGAACAAGCCACGGCUAACUACGUGCCAGCAGCCGCGGUAAUACGUAGGUGGCGAGCGUUAUCCGGAAUUACUGGGUGUAAAGGGCGUGUAGGCGGGGAUGCAAGUCAGAUGUGAAAUUCCGGGGCUCAACCUCGGCACUGCAUCUGAAACUGUGUCUCUUGAGUGCUGGAGAGGAAAGUGGAAUUCCUAGUGUAGCGGUGAAAUGCGUAGAGAUUAGGAGGAACACCAGUGGCGAAGGCGACUUUCUGGACAGCAACUGACGCUGAGGCGCGAGAGCGUGGGGAGCAA
rnacentral:rRNA from 1 species